rnacentral:rRNA from 1 species
GAGUAACACGUGAGUAACCUGCCCCAGACUCCGGAAUAACCUCGGGAAACCGAAGCUAAUACCGGAUACGAGACGUACAGGCAUCUGUAACGUCUGGAAAGAUUUAUCGGUCUGGGAUGGACUCGCGGCCUAUCAGCUUGUUGGCGGGGUAACGGCCCACCAAGGCGACGACGGGUAGCCGGCCUGAGAGGGUGACCGGCCACACUGGGACUGAGACACGGCCCAGACUCCUACGGGAGGCAGCAGUUGGGAAUAUUGCACAAUGGGCGCAAGCCUGAUGCAGCGACGCCGCGUGAGGGAUGACGGCCUUCGGGUUGUAAACCUCUUUCAGCAGGGAAGAAGCGAAAGUGACGGUACCUGCAGAAGAAGCACCGGCUAACUACGUGCCAGCAGCCGCGGUAAUACGUAGGGUGCAAGCGUUGUCCGGAAUUAUUGGGCGUAAAGAGCUCGUAGGCGGUUUGUCACGUCUGCUGUGAAAACGCGAGGCUCAACCUCGCGCCUGCAGUGGGUACGGGCAGACUAGAGUGUGGUAGGGGAGACCGGAAUUCCUGGUGUAGCGGUGGAAUGCGCAGAUAUCAGGAGGAACACCGAUGGCGAAGGCAGGUCUCUGGGCCACUACUGACGCUGAGGAGCGAAAGCAUGGGGAGCGAACAGGAUUA